CAGCAGUGGGGAAUAUUGCACAAUGGGGGAAACCCUGAUGCAGCCAUGACCGCGUGUGUGAAGAAGCCUUCGGGUUGUAAAGCACUUUCAGUAGGGAGGAAGGUAGUGUAGUUAACACCUGCAUUAUUUGACGUUACCUACAGAAGAAGCACCGGCUAACUCCGUGCCAGCAGCCGCGGUAAUACGGAGGGUGCGAGCGUUAAUCGGAAUUACUGGGCGUAAAGCGCAUGCAGGCGGCCUGUUAAGUCAGAUGUGAAAGCCCGGGGCUUAACCUCGGAAUUGCAUUUGAAACUGGCAGGCUAGAGUCUUGUAGAGGGGGUAGAAUUUCAGGUGUAGCGGUGAAAAUGCGUAGAGAUCUGAAGGAAUACCAGUGGCGAAGGCGGCCCCCUGGACAAAGACUGACGCUCAGAUGCGAAAAGCGUGGGGAGCAAACAGGAUUAGAUACCCUGGUAG
rnacentral:rRNA from 1 species